rnacentral:rRNA from 1 species
UGGGGAAUUUUGGGACAAUGGGGGAAACCCCUGAUCCAGCCAUCCCGCGUGUGCGAUGAAGGCCUUCGGGUUGUAAAGCACUUUUUGGCAGGAAAGAAACGUCGCGGGUUAAUACCCCGCGAAACUGACGGUACCUGCAGAAUAAGCACCGGCUAACUACGUGCCAGCAGCCGCGGUAAUACGUAGGGUGCAAGCGUUAAUCGGAAUUACUGGGCGUAAAGCGUGCGCAGGCGGUUCGGAAAGAAAGAUGUAAAUCCCAGAGCUUAACUUUGGAACUGCAUUUUUAACUACCGGGCUAGAGUGUGUCAGAGGGAGGUGGAAUUCCGCGUGUAGCAGUGAAAUGCGUAGAUAUGCGGAGGAACACCGGAUGGCGAAGGCAGCCUCCUGGGAUAACACUGACGCUCAUGCACGAAAGCGUGGGGAGCAAACAGGAUUNGAUACCCUGGUAGUCCACGCCCUAAACGAUGUCAACUAGCUGUUGGGGCCUUCGGGCCUUGGUAGCGCAGCU